rnacentral:rRNA from 1 species
AUUGAACGCUGGCGGCAGGCCUAACACAUGCAAGUCGAGCGGGGUUUUCGGACCUAGCGGCGGACGGGUGAGUAAUGCGUAGGAAGCUGCCCGAUAGAGGGGGAUACCAGUUGGAAACGACUGUUAAUACCGCAUAAUGUCUACGGACCAAAGUGUGGGACCUUCGGGCCACAUGCUAUCGGAUGCGCCUACGUGGGAUUAGCUAGUUGGUGAGGUAAUGGCCCUCAAAGGCGACGAUCUCUAGCUGGUUUGAGAGGAUGAUCAGCCACACUGGAACUGAGACACGGUCCAGACUCCUACGGGAGGCAGCAGUGGGGAAUAUUGGACAAUGGGCGCAAGCCUGAUCCAGCCAUGCCGCGUGUGUGAAGAAGGCCUUCGGGUUGUAAAGCACUUUCAGCGAGGAGGAAGGGUGGUGUGUUAAUAGCACAUCAUUUUGACGUUACUCGCAGAAGAAGCACCGGCUAACUCUGUGCCAGCCGCCGCGGUAACAC